UACGUAGGUGGCAAGCGUUGUCCGGAUUUACUGGGCGUAAAGAGCGCGCAGGCGGUCGGUCAAGUCGCGUGUGAAAGCCCCCGGCUCAACUGGGGAGGGUCACGCGAUACUGAUCGACUCGAAGGCAGGAGAGGGAAGUGGAAUUCCCGGUGUAGUGGUGAAAUGCGUAGAUAUCGGGAGGAAUACCGAUGGCGAAGGCAGGUCUCUGGGCUGACACUGACGCUCAUGCACGAAAGCGUGGGGAGCAAACAGG
rnacentral:rRNA from 1 species